GAAAUGCGAUACGUAAUGUGAAUUGCAGAAUUCAGUGAAUCAUCGAAUCUUUGAACGCAUAUUGCACUCUCUGGUAUCCCGGAGAGUAUGCCUGUUUCAGUAUCAUUGGUAACCUCAAGGCUUCCCGGAUUUUGGGGGGUGGGUUUGGAUCUGAGCUUUGCCGAGACUCUCUCCCCCCGGCUGGCUUGAAACGCAGCCACGGCAGGAACCGGGAUCAAAAGCGUAACUAGUUGGCCCGGAACUGUGGGAUUUUGCAGGAAAAUCGAUCGGAGAGGAGAGAUCUUUUCCGGAAACGUAGGACUACCCGCUGAACUUAA
rnacentral:misc_RNA from 1 species